rnacentral:rRNA from 1 species
GGUCAAGCUCACUCCAACCCAAUGUGAACGUUACCAAACUGUUGCCUCGGCGGGGUCACGCCCCGGGUGCGUCGCAGCCCCGGAACCAGGCGCCCGCCGGAGGAACCAACCAAACUCUUUCUGUAGUCCCCUCGCGGACGUAUUUCUUACAGCUCUGAGCAAAAAUUCAAAAUGAAUCAAAACUUUCAACAACGGAUCUCUUGGUUCUGGCAUCGAUGAAGAACGCAGCGAAAUGCGAUAAGUAAUGUGAAUUGCAGAAUUCAGUGAAUCAUCGAAUCUUUGAACGCACAUUGCGCCCGCCAGUUUCUGGCGGGCAUGCCUGUCCGAGCGUCAUUUCAACCCUCGAACCCCUCCGGGGGAUCGGCGUUGGGGAUCGGGACCCCUCACACGGGUGCCGGCCCCGAAAUACAGUGGCGGUCUCGCCGCAGCCUCUCCUGCGCAGUAGUUUGCACAACUCGCACCGGGAGCGCGGCGCGUCCACGUCCGUAAAACACCCAACUUUCUGAAAUGUUGACCUCGGAUCAGGUAGGAAUACCCGCUGAACUUAAGCAUAUCAAAAGCCGGGAAGAAAA